UUGAGAAGUUUACUCAAUGUCUUCAAUAUUUACUGAUGAACAUGAUGGCAUACUGAAAAGUCUAAUUCAGAAAGAGAUCUAGAGGGUAGAGAUAUCAGAAAGUGAUAGAAGAAAGCUGACCUUCAGCCUCAGUGUAAAACAUCAAGAAAGAAAUGGUCAAGAGAAUUUUAUAAUGAGAUUUGUGCAGGAAAAGGGAAACUUCCUGGAGGAAUUGGGCUUGAUCUGAAUCUUCCGGUAAUGGAGCCCAGAAAGCUGGAGUUUCUGGGAACCAACAGUACUUCCCUGUUUGUCAAGGCUUUUGAAAUUCAAGGAUUCUAGGAUAUUAAUUGUUCUGGCUCCGAAGUCAGCAACUGGUAUGAUCAUGGAGAAUUUGUUUUUGAAUACAGGAGAAACAUCUUCACAGAUUCUGGAGGGUACACACCUGUGGAGUAGACACUAAGUAAAUUCUUAGACAGCUAUUUCAGCAAACCUCCUGAGAGAGCUCAUGCUCGUCCACCUCCCACCAUCUAAGCAGCCUGCCUCUGCUGGCCUAGAGUCAGAAUAGCUGUAAGUAAAUUGUAUGCCACUCUUUGGGUUUGGUCCUGGGUUUUGGCAACAACAAUGCAGGUAAAUGUGUUGCAACAACUCUGGGGAAAGGUGUCUUGACUACCUGUGAGUCAGGCAACACAUUGAGCUGCUUAAGACAGCUCUGAUGGUGGGAACUUCAAGGAGACAAUUUAGCCCUGGUGUGCAAGGUAUCCCACACAUCGAGCAUCUCAGAAGAGCAGCUCUGUCCUGAAGGUGUCCUGGACACCUGGAGCUGUUUAGCACAGCUCUGAUGGCUGGAAUUGCAAGGGAACAGUUCAGCCCUGGAGGGUGAUGUAUCCUGGACCCCUUAAGCUGCUCACAACAGCUCUGCCCUGAUGAUGUAAGAUAAACAACUGAUUACUGAUUAUUCUACUUUAUUACACUUCUACCAGAUACAUGAAAAUAUGGCUUUGAAUACACACAUAAAGUGUUUAAUGUUUUUUAUAUUCUUAUGCAUUAAGCAUUUUAAAAUUAACAUUGUUGUGUUGACAAAACAGCACACAUUGGGAGUAGAUUCUCUACACUUAGACUACUCUGGAGGUAGAAACUUGAGGACCAUGAGUUCAAAAGUAUUGUUGAAUCAUUACUGAAAUCAAUGCCAGGCUUAAUGUCAACAACAAAAUCUCAAAGCAAUUUGUGAAAACAUGAAAUCAAAACCAAACACCACAACCCACCACCCUUUUCACAGACACACUUACUCAGAAAGUAUGAUCAUACACUGCCUGAUAUUUAAAUAAACAAUAGACUGGUAAGAUGAUAGAUUUCCCAUUCUAUGUAUUACAGCAGAAAAAAUACUUAUCACUAAGUAAAAACACAAUGGAAGAUGAACAAAAGCCACAAAAGUAAUAUAAAGACCACAAAAAUAAAUUUAGCUAAAUGAAUAUGCCAUACAUAUAGCACAAACUUUGGUGUCCACCUCAAAUGUUUCAAAAUAGAAAUGAAAAUGCACUGAUCUCCCCCAUCAGUCUUGACUAAACAUAAUAACUAGUUUACUUCCUUCAAGCCUAUGAUGAAAAGAAAAUGAAGUAAGAUUCUUUUGUUUAAGCUGAAGACAACUGUGAUAUCUAAAAUCUGUACCAAAUUGUUUACGUGAAUAAAUUUUUUCUCUUUUU